UACGUAGGGUGCAAGCGUUGUCCGGAAUUAUUGGGCGUAAAGAGCUCGUAGGCGGUCUGUCGCGUCGGAUGUGAAAACCCAGGGCUCAACCCUGGGCCUGCAUUCGAUACGGGCAGACUAGAGUUCGGUAGGGGAGACUGGAAUUCCUGGUGUAGCGGUGAAAUGCGCAGAUAUCAGGAGGAACACCAGUGGCGAAGGCGACUACCUGGCCUGUUCUUGACGCUGAGGCGCGAAAGCUAGGGGAGCAAACGGG
rnacentral:rRNA from 1 species